rnacentral:rRNA from 1 species
AAUCUUCCGCAAUGGACGAAAGUCUGACGGAGCAACGCCGCGUGAGUGAAGAAGGUUUUCGGAUCGUACAACUCUGUUGUUAGAGAAGAACAAGGAUGAGAGUAACUGCUCGUCCCUUGACGGUAUCUAACCAGAAAGCCAUGGCUAACUACGUGCCAGCCGCCGCGGUAAUACGUAGAUGGCAAGCGUUUUCCGGAUUUAUUGGGCGUAAAGCGAGCGCAGGCGGUUCUUUAAGUCUGAUGUGAAAGCCCCUGGCUCAACCAGGGAGGGUCAUUGGAAACUGGAGAACUUGAGUGCAGAAGAGGAAAGUGGAAUUCCAUGUGUAGCGGUGAAAUGCGUAGAUAUAUGGAGGAACACCAGUGGCGAAGGCGACUUUCUGGUCUGUAACUGACGCUGAGGCUCGAAAGCAUGGGGAGCAAACAGG